UAUGCAAUCAAUUUGGUAUCCAUGUUUUUUUGCGUCUCUCUCUCUUUGUAUUAUUAAUCAAAGUUGACUAUUAAUAAUAAUUAUUUUUAUGAAUUUGUAUUGUGAAAACAACAAUAACCGGUUCGACCUGAAUUGAACAUGUCCUUAAAGAUCGUUGUUAUUAAAUUAAACAUCAAACGAGGAACAUUAAUCCAAAGGAAAAACAAUUUUGGUUAACCAUUAGCUUUGUAAUGACACACUUCAUUACCAUUGACUUGUCUUGUUAACAUCAAAAGUUUUGCAUGCGGAUGUAACAUUUCCUAUUGUGGACAUAUGGAGAUACAAUUCUCCCAUUAAAUGGAUGGAACCAUUGGAUUGCAAGUACUAAUGAACCAAUUUAGAGUAGAUUAUUGCCUCUUCAAUUCAUCUUCUAGCCGCCACAAUCGUCAACCAAAAUAGUCUUGGAGUCGGUUUUUUACAUUUUUUGGACUUUCUCUAUGAUCAAUUGAUAUUUUCACCGCUUAAAAUGUUAUUUUUUGGUUUGAGAAAAUAUUAAUUUUUCAGGAAAUGUGGAAUGUAAUGCAAAUUUGGUAUUUUAUCUUGAUCAUUACAUGUUUACUUAAAGUUUGCGGAAAAAUGCAUUUCACAUGGAGAAAAAUCAUCAUCAAAAGGCAGAGAAAAAAGUUUCCAACAUACUUUAUUUCUAAUUUGAUUGUUUUCUGUUCUAAUACAUAAAAUGGUACAUAAAAUAUUCUCCCAUAGUAUUAUGUAUUAUUUGAAUAAAAGUGGCAACAUCAACACCAACAAAAUGGUUAAUGUAAGCUUCGGUGGUGCUUAAUGUCUAAUAGUUUUCAUCGUUAUUUUUUACUUAUUUUGUUGAAGUCAAAAAAAGAGCAAAAAUAAAGAUUGUUAAAAACACUUGUCCUGUUUGGAUGGAAUCCUGCUGCAAAAAAAUGAAUAAUUCACAUGAAUACUGUUUCUCUUUCUCUAUAUCACACACACAACACUGUUCAUCAUCUGCGUUACAAGAGCGAUCAAGAGACACCAUUAAUAUCAACAGCAGAUGUGUACUUUGUAAAGUUUGGGAAAAGCAAGAGGCAACAAAUUUUUUUUCCUCUACUUUUACCUGAAAGUUAGAUGUGACAAGGAUUUAUUAAUUUACUAAUUGUUGCAGUUAACUAAUGACAUUUCAUUUUUUGGCCAAAAAAAGAGUGGCAAUUUACUAGAGGCGAAACUCAAGGAGAAAGUCAGAGAAAAAUGAGAAACAAGUUGCCAAUGACCAUGUAACGGAGGUUCAACAACAGACUCAAGGUGAUACUUCCGGAAUAAUUUUUCACCUCCCUUUGGUAGACAUUUUUAAUAGUAAUUUUUCCUCAAACAUAGUAACUUACCCUGUGGCUUGAUAGGGCCUACUCAGUGAACAAUUAAUGUUAAAGCUCAAGUUAAAAGGACGGGCAAUGAAGUUGUUGAUGAUAAUAUUUUUGUGACUAAUUAGUACUCCAAACUAAUUAACGUACAACACACGGUAUCCUAGAUGCCUUUGAAUCAGUGCAUAGAUUCAUUGAAAGUUUCUCAUGAAGAUCUACACCAAAGCAAAAGCGGAGGAGGGAAAAAAGGAUGAACUGAAAUAUUUCAAUAUAUUGCCUAAGCAAAGAGGCAUUCUGGCUUUGAUGGUCAACAAAAGAAGAGGAAAAAAGAGGAUGAAAAGCAAGAGGAAAGAAGGCAAUGAGGGAAAAAUUUGAAAAAUGUAUCAUUAGAGGUAUUCUUCAUGUAACAUCAUAAAAAACUCUGAUCACAUCUUGAACGAUUCUUGGUGUAAAGUAGGAAAAGCUGUUAAAAUUGUAUUAUAAAUAUUGAGAAAAAAAGGUAAGUAAAGGUGUGGUUAAUGUUCAUCAAAUAUACAUGUAUAUAUUUCUUGACGAUUAAAGACCUCACACUAUGCUUGUUCAAAUUUGACCACGACAAGUCAAUGCGUCAUUAUUAUCAUCAUCAACUUGAUCAUUAUUCUCAUCAUUAACAUAAUCUCAUCUUUACCGAUUUUCAUCGUUUCUCCUUCUUCAGCUCUGUUCAUCCCCUUCAUCAUCAUGAUAAUAUAUUCUUGACAAAAGUAACACUAAAUCCAGGUUUUACAGGGACGCCCAUUGCAAAUAACUGGUUAAUAACUUGUUAGGGUCACAAAUUAAUUUCAAGAAAAUAUAAAGUGAUCUAAAUUGUGUGUUAUCCUCAUCAACUAAUGAUUUCAAUUACCAGAAAUGUUCAACCUGUGAUCUACAUAAAUGAGGGAGAACAAGGAAAAAAAAGUUAACUCAACUUGGAUAAUAAAUUGCUUUUAAAUAGCAAUUAAUAAUUGAAACACAAAUAGACCUUAUCUUCAAGCUUAAAACUGAACCCCUUUUCUUUCUGCCCUGAAAAUGUACUACUCUUACAAUUUUGGUCCAUUGAUUACAAUGUUACAGAUGUAAACCCAAGAAACAAUUACAAAGUAGAGUUGAAAAAUUAGGCGAAAUCUGAUUUCAAAAGUGAUUUGCUGAUUCAAUCCAAGCUUUUGCGAGGAAAAACCUAGCAAUCUUCAAAAAUUCUGUGGCUAUAUUAUUAACCUUGCAUGGAUCUGUUUGCUCAACCAAAUCAACAACAAUUUCACGGUACAACUAUUCACAUGAUGGUGACUCGGGCGUCAGUACAUAAUAACAAGAAACAAUUCACGAUCAUUUCAUUGAUUUUACCGGUUUUACCUUAAACUUUACCAACCAAUAUUACUUGUUAUUAUCAUUAUCUAUGUUUAUUAUUAUGUAAUGCAUCUUACAGUAAAUGCAGCACAAAAAAGCGUUCAAAUGAAAAAGGAAAGUAAAAAAUCUAUUCUAUUUGAACCAAAUUCCCUAUUUUUUUACUUCGGCUAACUUUUUUCUGCUUCUUCUUUUCUCUUUUUCAGAUUCAACGGAAGUUACAGGAAACAAGAAAAAAAUAUAUCUACAAUGAUUCAAGAACCAUUCAAUGUUACCUUGAAAAAUGGGAAUUCAAUUUGUUUUCUUUAAUGAUCAAAAUGAUGAUUAAGAUAGAUACACAUUUACACAAUGGCUGAUUAUCAAUGAAAGCAAAUAUUGUUUCAACCUUUCCUUCAAUAUAAUACAAUUUCAACAUUUGUUUUUUUAUUAUUGUUUUCAGGUUAACUUUUGACUUGCCAUGAAGAUAGCCUUUUGUUUUAUUGUUUUCACCAAAUUCCCAACGAGUCCCAUGAUAUACAGAAGUAUUGACUGAUUAUAUUUCAACAUAUCAACAGUUAUUGACUUUGGCUUUUCUGGAUCAAAUGGCCAUUAUAUUUCAACUAACUUACCAUGAUAUCCAAGUCGCCGAUUGCCUGGGAAACUAUCCAUUUCAAUGAAUUAUUUCAUUUUUUUAUUUCUUCUUUUUGAUUAACAUAAUUGCUAGUUGAAAUGGCCCUUUUAAUUGGCUCUUUAUCAAAGCAAUCAAUCAACAAAUAACUGAAUCCUCAAUUUUGUGUCUGUUGAUACAUUAAUUAUUUAAUGUGUAAUCAAAUAUUCAUGUAAGGUUAAGGUUAAACCUGCAGACGCACAGUUUGCCUCUUAAAUUGUAAUCUAUUUACACAUUUAAUAUUGUUAGAUUGCCCAUUAGAGCCAAUUUAAUCAUCAUUUCAUCUGAUUUACAAGUAAAAGCAUUGAAUCUUAUUUGUUGAACAGUGCAAAGCAUUCAAUAAUAUCACUUGUUAAUACAAUUAGAGUUGACACUUGAAAGAAAUCAAAUUUACAUUAAAACCUCUUUUUUUGUUUA